rnacentral:rRNA from 1 species
AGUGAACGCUGGCGGCAGGCCUAACACAUGCAAGUCGAACGGCAGCAGAGUAAGAGCUUCUGGUUACGGGUGGGGAGUGGCGGGUAGGGGAGGGGAAUAUGGGUAUCUACUUUUGCGAACGUGAUAACGCAGGGACUCAUACGCCAUUAGUGCUGACGGCGUACGGGUGGAAGCAGCGGACCUUCCGACCUCGCAUGAGUCAAGGUGCCAAUGUCGGAUUAGCUAGUUGGCGGGGUAAAGGCCCACCAAGGCGACGAUCCGUAGCUGGUCUGAGAGGAUGAUCAGCCACACUGGAACUGAGACACGGUCCAGACUCCUACGGGAGGCAGCAGUGGGGAAUAUUGGACAAUGGGCGCAAGCCUGAUCCAGCCAUACCGCGUGUGUGAAGAAGGCCUUCGGAUUGUAAAGCCCUUUUGUUGGGAAAGAAGAGCAGCAAGUUAAUACCCCGCUGUUCUGACGGUACCCAAAGAAUAAGCACCGGCUAACUUCGUG